GACGAACGCUGGCGGCGUGCUUAACACAUGCAAGUCGAACGGAAAGGCCUGCUUUCCCUUGUGGAUUGCGGGUACUCGAGUGGCGAACGGGUGAGUAACACGUGAGUGAUCUGCCCCCAACUUGGGUAUAAGCCUGGGAAACUGGGUCUAAUUCCCGAUAGGACUGCAGGGUGGUGCCUGUGGUGGAAAGCGAUUUUCUAGUGGUUGGGGAUGAGCUCGCGGCCUAUCAGCUUGUUGGUGGGGUAAUGGCCUACCAAGGCGGCGACGGGUAGCCGGCCUGAGAGGGUGGACGGCCACAUUGAGACUGAGAUACGGCCCAGACUCCUACGGGAGGCAGCAGUGGGGAAUAUUGCACAAUGGGCGGAAGCCUGAUGCAGCGACGCCGCGUGGGGGAUGACGGCCUUCGGGUUGUAAACUCCUUUCGACCGCGAGGAAGCCACCUGGUUGGAAGGGUGGUGACGGUAGUGGUAGAAGAAGCACCGGCUAACUACGUG
rnacentral:rRNA from 1 species